GCCUCAGCGUCAGGUACGGGCCAGGAAGCCGCCUUCGCCACCGGUGUUCCUCUCGAUAUCUACAGAUUUCACCCCUACACCGAGAGUUCCACUUCCCUCUCCCGCCCUCUAGCGAGGUAGUUUCGAGCGCCAUUCCUCAGUUAAGCCAAGGGAUUUCACACUCGACUUGCCAAGCCGCCUGCGCGCCCUUUACGCCCAGU
rnacentral:rRNA from 1 species